CCCUUAGAUGUUCUGGGCUGCACGCGCGCUACACUGAUGCACUCAACGAGUUUACGACCUUGUCCGAGAGGAUUGGGUAAUCUUUUUAAAAUGCAUCGUGAUGGGGAUAGAUUAUUGCAAUUAUUAAUCUUGAACGAGGAAUUCCUAGUAAUCGCAGAUCAUCAAUCUGCAAUGAUUACGUCCCUGCCCUUUGUACACACCGCCCGUCGCACCUACCGAUUGAAUGGUCCGGUGAAGACUCGGGAUCGUGGCUUAGUUGCUUAAUUGUGAUUAGACCGUGAGAACCUGUCUAAACCUUAUCAUUUAGAGGAAGGUGAAGUCGUAACA
rnacentral:rRNA from 1 species